rnacentral:lncRNA from 1 species
AGCAGCUCUGCCUGGUUCACUUCACGGGCUACGGGCUCCUCCUUGGAGCGCGGCGCCGUCUUGCUCUAAGCUCCGCCGCCCUGCGCUCCGCUCGCUUGCCGCACCCAAGGGUGCUUUCCGGAGCGGGAGGGGGAAACGCGAGGGCGCCAAGGAGGCAGCGGGGGCAGCAGCUAGACUGGGAGGGCCCCAGGGCAUCUGAAAGCCUUUGGGCCAGGGGCAGCUGGCCUGUCCCUCGCGCCUCGCCUCCCGCUCGCCCGGACUGCGCCGGAACGGGGCUGAAAUCGGGCAACUCCACCUGCGUCGGGAAGGGCUGAGGACGGCAGACCCUCGCAGGCCUCCCUCGGCAAGCGGCGCGGUUUCCCCCACGGGGACCGGCUCACCCCCGCCCUAGGCUCCCCAUCAAGGCGGCGGGGACCGGAGCGGAGGUUACCUCCGACCGGGCGCCGGGAGAAGGCAGCGCGCCCACCCGGCCGUCGUCGCCUACCUGCAGCGGGCCGCGGCGCCUCCCGUCCGGCUCUGGCUGGCGACGCGGUGCGCAGCGCAGGUCCGAGGCGUCUCCCUCUUCCCGCUCUUCCCCCUUCCCUCUCCCCGAAGGGGCGGGGGAGGCAGAGGGGGGCGGGGGGCGGGUCCAGAGCUGGCGCAGCCUCCCCGCGCUCCAGUCCGCCUUUUGGUGGCGACCCCGCUCCCCCUCCCUCGCCUCCCCCUCCCUUCCCACGUGCCCUCCCCAACCCCGGGGCAGGUGAGCCUGGCCAAUCAGAGGGGGCGGCCAGGCAGGUACGCGGCUUAUCUGGACGGCUCGGGCAAGAGCGCGCCCACUGCGCACCGGGUGGAUGGAUGGGGCGGGCGGAGGCAACGGGGGUGAACGCAUGGCUGAACGGGCGCGAGAUCCGCCGCCGCUUCCCUGAGCUUCUGGGCAUCGGCGCUGCCUGCCUGCCUCCGCCUCCUGCCGCCGGGAGAGCCCUCCGCUCACCGCCGCCCCCCGCGCGCCCGUCGUGGCACCCUCCAGCUGCCUCGCCCGGGGGGCCUCAAGCGCGCGCCCGCUCCCCCUCG